rnacentral:rRNA from 1 species
UACGGGAGGCAGCAGUGGGGAAUAUUGGGCAAUGGGCGAAACCCUGAUGCAGCAACGCCGCGUGGAGGAAGACGGUUUUCGGAUUGUAAACCUUUGUCCUUGGUGAAGAUAAUGACGGUAGCCGAGGAGGAAGCCACGGCUAACUACGUGCCAGCAGCCGCGGUAAU